GCCUGGGUGGCUCAGUUGGUUAAGCGUCUGACUUCAGCUCAGGUCAUGAUCUCGCAGUUCGUGAGUUCAAGCCCUGCAUCAGGCU
rnacentral:tRNA from 1 species